GCCGACCAGACAAAUGAGAAAAGGGGGUGGUAGAGGACUGAGAUCAGAUAGGAGUGAAGCCUAGCACGUUGGGCAGGCAGGAUUGCACUGGGGAGCCGAAGACUUUUCACUCCUUACCAUGCAUGCUCCCCGCCCCCCAGCCUACCCCCCCCCCCAAGGGUGGGCAGACCUGGCAGAAGGCUUGUUCCUAGCAUUGGGGUGUGCGUGGGGGGCUCGUUUUGGGAAGGGGGCGGAAGGGAUUAGUCCCAGGGAUGCGAGAGGAUCGGUUCUGGCUGGGGGCGGGGUGGGGAAGAUGCCUUUAGCUGCAAAAGCCCCGGGCGGCCAGGUUGGCUGCCCGCCUCGGCGGGCUCGCGGGGCGGAGAAGAGGGUCGGGCUGCAGGAGGAGGCGCCUGGACCCCUGAGCAGCGCCCAGCAGACAAUACAAGCGCCUCGGAGCGAGUCCCCGAACCUGCCCUAGCCAAAAUGGCGGCCGAGAAAGAGCGGAAGUGACGUCUGCUGUUGCUGGCACUUGACAUUCUUCCAACUCAGUCAUGGACUCUCCUCUUUGGCCUGAAGAAACAAGUGGAAUCCCCAGUGUUUUGAGGCCAGUGGACUGGUGAAGCCGAAGGAUGAAGUGAUGUCGCCAAUGGCCCUCCACAAGAUCCUUAAGAACACUUUGUAAUCCUAGGGCAAGUUCUAGUGCUCCCACAAUCUGGAUAGCAUGACAGCACAUGGACAGAGUGCUUGAAAACGUUAGGCCAGUCCCAACACUUAUCGUAGAGUGCAUCUGAGAGUGUAUCAUUGGUGAAAUGUAUUUAAAAGUAAUAAAAGCCAAUGGUUAAGGAUUAACCAAGGCUAGUUUUUCAAUACGUGCUCUGUAAAUACACUUUUACUACUGUUCCUUUUAGUUUACAAGGUAAGAUAGUUUCAAAUAAUACUUAACAUCUCAAAAGAAUCUAACUGAUAUGAAUUGUGGUUAACUAUACUCAAUGUCUAAGACUUUGGUUAGCAAGUUUAACAAACUUUCAUCCAACACACUGUUCCAUUAACUUCUGCAAUUUCACUAACAUCUUUAAAAGCCAAAUCAGUACUUCAGUAGAAAACAGGAGCUGGAAAAAGUUGUUUAAAAAACAACAGCAGGGGAGGGUUUGGCAAAGCAUUUGACUCAGGAAGAUGAAGAAUCUAUACACUGUAUAAUACAAGCAGAAAGCUACUAUGAAAUAAGCAAAAUAAGGUAAUUUUUAGUUUUCCUUUGGUAUACUUAGAUUUCAUAGUGAUAAUACAAAUACAGAGGAAGAGCAUCUGGAUUUCAUCAUUGGCCUCAUUUAUGAA
ensembl:lncRNA